CAGUAGCCACGGGAAUACGUAGGUGGCAAGCGUUAUCGGAAUGAUUGGGCGUAAAGCGUCUGUAGGUGGCUUUUCAAGUCCGCCGUCAAAUCCCAGGGCUCAACCCUGGACAGGCGAUGGAAACUACCAAGCUGGAUUACGGUAGGGGCAGAGGGAAUGUCCGGUGGAGCGGUGAAAUGCGUUGAGAUCGGAAAGAACACCAACGACAAAAGCAUUCUGUUGGGCCGAAACUGACACUGAGAGACGAAAGCUAGGGGAGCAAAUGGGAUUAGAGACCCCCGUAGUCCCUGUCUCUUAUACC
rnacentral:rRNA from 1 species